UAAAGAGAGAUUUUGUAAACGAAGACUAUUUUGAUCAUGCGCAACACAUCCCUUUGCUCCAAUCCGAACACCUUUCACAACCAGCCCUCUCUUCCAAUGCCCUUCAUGUUCA